rnacentral:rRNA from 1 species
GACGGGGGGGGGCAAGUGUUCUUCGGAAUGACUGGGCGUAAAGGGCACGUAGGCGGUGAAUCGGGUUGAAAGUGAAAGUCGCCAAAAAAGUGGCGGAAUGCUCUCGAAACCAAUUCACUUGAGUGAGACAGAGGAGAGUGGAAUUUCGUGUGUAGGGGUGAAAUCCGUAAAUAUACGAAGGAACGCCAAAAGCGAAGGCAGCUCUCUGGGUCC